rnacentral:rRNA from 1 species
UGUGGAUUAAUUCGAUGCAACGACGAAAACCUUACCUACCUUGACAUGUCCGGAAUCCGAAGAGAUUUGGGAGUGCUCGCAAGAGAGCCGGAACACAGGUGCUGCAUGGCUGUCGUCAGCUCGUGUCGUGAGAUGUUGGGUUAAGUCCCGCAACGAGCGCAACCCUUGUCAUUAGUUGCCAUCAUUUGGUUGGGCACUCUAAUGAGACUGCCGGUGACAAACCGGAGGAAGGUGGGGGAUGACGUCAAGUCCUCAUGGCCCUUAUGGGUAGGGCUUCGCACGUCAUACAAUGGUCGGUACAGAGGGUUGCCAACCCGCGAGGGGGAGGCUAAUCCCACAAAGCCGAUCGUAGUCCGGAUCGCAGUCUGCAACUCGACUGCGUGAAGUCGGAAUCGCUAGUAAUCGUGGAUCAGCAUGUCACGGUGAAUACGUUCCCGGGUCUU